rnacentral:rRNA from 1 species
AAGUCGUAACAAGGUCUCCGUUGGUGAACCAGCGGAGGGAUCAUUACCGAGUUUACAACUCCCAAACCCAAUGUGAACGUUACCAAACUGUUGCCUCGGCGGGAUUCUCAAGCCCCGGGUGCGUCGCAGCCCCGGACCAAGGCGCCCGCCGGAGGACCAACCAAAACUCUUUUUGUAUACCCCCUCGCGGGUUUUUUAUAAUCUGAGCCUUCUCGGCGCCUCUCGUAGGCGUUUCGAAAAUGAAUCAAAACUUUCAACAACGGAUCUCUUGGUUCUGGCAUCGAUGAAGAACGCAGCGAAAUGCGAUAAGUAAUGUGAAUUGCAGAAUUCAGUGAAUCAUCGAAUCUUUGAACGCACAUUGCGCCCGCCAGUAUUCUGGCGGGCAUGCCUGUCCGAGCGUCAUUUCAACCCUCGAACCCCUCCGGGGGGUCGGCGUUGGGGAUCGGCCUCCCUCUGCGGGGGCCGUCUCCGAAAUACAGUGGCGGUCUCGCCGCAGCCUCUCCUGCGCAGUAGUUUGCACACUCGCAUCGGGAGCGCGGCGCGUCCACAGCCGUUAAACACCCAAACUUUCUGAAAUGUUGACCUCGGAUCAGGUAGGAAUACCCGCUGAACUUAAGCAUAUCAAUAAGCGGAGGAAAAGAAACCAACAGGGAUUGCCCCAGUAACGGCGAGUGAAGCGGCAACAGCUCAAAUUUGAAAUCUGGCCCCUAGGGUCCGAGUUGUAAUUUGUAGAGGAUGCUUUUGGUGAGGUGCCGCCCGAGUUCCCUGGAACGGGACGCCACAGAGGGUGAGAGCCCCGUCUGGCUGGCCGCCGAGCCUCUGUAAAGCUCCUUCGACGAGUCGAGUAGUUUGGGAAUGCUGCUCAAAAUGGGAGGUAUAUGUCUUCUAAAGCUAAAUAUUGGCCAGAGACCGAUAGCGCACAAGUGGAGUGAUCGAAAGAUGAAAAGCACCUUGAAAAGAGGGUUAAAUAGUACGUGAAAUUGUUGAAAGGGAAGCGCUUGUGACCAGACUUGGGCGCGGCGGAUCAUCCGGGGUUCUCUCCGGUGCACUUCGCCGCGUCUAGGCCAGCAUCAGUUCGUCGCGGGGGAAAAAGGCUUCGGGAACGUGGCUGCUCCGGCAGUGUUAUAGCCCGUUGCAUAAUACCCUGCGGUGGACUGAGGACCGCGCAUCUGCAAGGAUGCUGGCGUAAUGGUCACCAGCGACC